GACAUCAGAGUGUUGCGCGAAUAAUUGCAUCCCCUAUUUUAACCACUUAAACAUUUUUUGCUUUAAAGACCGUAGAAAAGAGUAAGAGAGGUGUUGAACGGAAGCAGAGCUCUGGAGCGUGAGGACAGACAGUGGCUGUAAUGAUGGACGUGUGCUGAAGGACGGGACUCAUUUUCAAUGAUGCCACCCUUCCUUUUUCGUGUUCAGACUGAAGUACGUUAAGGUGGAUCUGUUUUGUCUUUUGCGAAAGGAAGAAGACGAGCAUCAAGUGAUUUCCAGUGGAUGCCAUGACCUCC